rnacentral:lncRNA from 1 species
AUAAAUUGGAUUUUGAGGAUAAAAAUAUUAACAUGCAAAAUAAAUGUUGAUUCAAUUGACAAGUGAAAACAAUGGAUGGAUGGAUAUUGUUGGGUACUAACAAUUAAUUCUAUUCCACUCUCUCUUACACACUACCCUUGAUUAUUAGAUUGAUUAAAUUGUUAUGCAACUUUCUUAGCCUCCCCUUAACCCAAUCCCUCGGCGAAAAGGGCCUAAUAUCAAUUACCGGCUUGCUAUCCCUAGCCUCCCCUAGUAAUUAAUACCGCAUUAUAAACAGAAGUUAGCACAAUUGAUCGUCCUACCCCUAUCCCUAGGUGGUAUUGCAAAAUCAAGAGAUUACUCACCAGUUCAUGUCACUACCAC